UCUUUCCCCCUCCCUUUCCUCCCUCUCCCCGCAGCCGGGACUGGAGUCUCCUCAGCGAAACUCCGGUGCUUUCGCAGCCGCAGUGAGUACAGAGAAGGGACCCGCGUCUUGCCGGGGGAUGUUUCUAACGCAUCUUUGCGGCCGCUGCCGGGCGGCGGGGCUCCCGCUGCUGCGCCGGGCUCUCCUCCCCCAGCCCCGCGCCCAGGGAUGCAGAAGCAUCUUCUCCCACCGCAGCUCACGUAGAAGGGAAAACCCGGCAGAUAAAUCACUAUUUGCAUUUAUGUCUGACUCAGAAGAUCAGCCUAGUCUCAGAGUUCAAUCUGUACUCACACCCCUUCUUUCCCUUGAUGCUUGUCCUCCUGCCUGGCUCCUGCCUUCUCUUUCUCCUCUCUGAUGUUUUAAGUCAUGCAGAACUGCUUCCACAAUUGAUUUCAGCCCAUGAAGUCCCAGGAGAAUUAUCACUGGUCAGCAGUAGUUGUCUCCUUGGACUCUAUUGUCCUCAUCUCCUCCUUCCUCUCACUUUCUGCUCCCUGGUUGCAGGCCUCCUCCCAGACACUUUCAUCUUUGUGACCCAUCCUCCUUUGCUCAGCAGGAGAAAGGGAGGUGGUGCACACAGGAGAGGCACCCAGAUGUCACAGGAAGGGAGGAGCACUCGUGGUCCCCCUGCCUUGGGCACGGAUUGUACCCGGCUGCCCCGCAAAAGCCCCCGAACGUGGAGCGGGCUCUGUCAGCUCGGGCUGGCCUUUGGAAAACUCAGUAAAAUGACAAAA